rnacentral:sRNA from 1 species
UUUACAUUUCAGUCCUCCUUUGUAAGGCUUCGUCUCUUGUAUUGUCCUCCUAUGAGUUUGAACGUAUCUUGUCAGCCUACUAGUUCCGGUGAUCACUCAAAAUGGAAGAACAGGAGAAUAAGGAAUCUACAUUCAAUUUUGUACCAGGAGACAUUCUAGAAUUCCAGUUAGACACACUAAAACAUUGGGGUAUAUAUAUAGGUCACGACAGAUUCGUUUAUUCAGCAAAAGAAACAUCAAAAGAUUCCACUAGUUUACUUUCCUAUUUCCACGAAACAUAUGUUGUACAACUCAAUAAUGUCACAAGUAUAAAGAAUAUCAAAGAAGCAGAUGCUGGAAAGUUUUCAAGGUAAGAUAUGUGU